GGGUUCGAUCCUGGCUCAGAUUGAACGCUGGCGGGAUGCUGCUACACUGAAGUCAGACAGCGGCACGGACUUCGGUCUGGUGGCGAGUGGCGAACGGAGCGAGUAAUGUAUCGGAGCGUGCCCGUAGCGGGGGAUAACUACGCGGCGUAGCUAAUACUGCAUACGCUAAGGAAAGCGGGGACCUUCGGGCCUCACUAUUGAAACGGCCGAUAUCGGAUUAGCUAGUUGGUGGGGUAACGGCCUCACCAAGGCGACGAUCCGUAGCUGGUUUUGAAGGACGACCAGCCACGCAGGACUGAGACACGGCCCAGACUCCUACGGGAGGCAGCAGUGGGGAAUUUUGGACAAUGGAAACCUGAUCCAGCCAUCCCGCGUGCGAUGAAGGCCUUCGGGUUGUAAAAACACUUUUGGCAGGAAAGAAACGGCACGGGAUAAUACCCCCAUUGCAACUGACAACCUGCAGAAUAAGCACCGGCUAACUACGUGCCCAGCAGUAAUACGUAAGUGCAAAAAGCGUUAAUCGGAAUUACUGGGCGCAAAGCGUGCGCAGGCGGUUCGGGGAAAGAAAGAUGAAAUCCCAGAGCUUAACUUUAGAACUGCAUUUUUAACUACCGAGCUAGAGUGUGUCAGAGGAGCGUUCACGUGUAGCAGUGACCGUAGAUAUGCGGAGAAACACCGAUGAAGAGGCGGCCUCCUGGGGAUUAACACUGACGCUCAUGCAAAGCGUGGGGAGCAAACAGGAUUAGAUACCCUGAAGUCCACGCUAAACGAUGUCAACUAGCUGCAGGGCCUUCUGGGCCGCAGGCAGCCCGCAAUAACGCGUGAAGUUGACCGCCUGGGAAAUGCUGGUCGCAAGAUUAAAGCUCCGAAAAAGGAAUUGACGGGGACCCACUGAAGCGGUGGAUGAUGUGGAUUAAUUCGAUGCAACGCGAAAACCUUACCUACCCUUGACAUGUCUGGAAUCCCGAAGAGAUUUGGAAUUUUACUCACGCAAGAGGGAACCGGAACACAGGUGCUGCAUGGCUGUCGUGGCUCAAAUACGACGAGAUGAUGGGUUAAGUCCCGCAACGAGCGCAACCCUGUGUUGGAUUUACUACGAAAGAGGGCACUCUAAUGAGACUGCCGGUAAACCGGAGGAAGGUGGGGAUAGCGUCAAGUCCUCAUGGCCCUUAUCGUGCGGGCUUCACCCCCGUCAUACAAUGGUCAGGACAACGGAGAUGCUGCAGCCCGCGAGGGGGAGCCAAUCCCGAAACCCCGAUCGUAGUCCGGAUCGCAGCCUGCAACUCGACUGCGUGAAGUCAGAUCCUUAUUAAUAAUCGCGGAUCCUUCGCACGGUGAACACGUUCCGGGUCUUGUACCGCCCGUCACACCAUGGGAGUGGGUUUUGCAGAAGUAGUUAGCCUAACGUAAGGAGGCGAUUUUGGUAGGAUUAGCGAGCUGGGGUGAAGUCGUAACAAAGGUAG
rnacentral:rRNA from 1 species